AGUGAACGCUGGCGGUAUGCCUAACACAUGCAAGUCGAACGGCAGCACAGUAAGAGCUCGCUCUUACGGGUGGCGAGUGGCGGAUGGGUGAGGAAUACAUCGGAAUCUACUUUUUCGUGGGGGAUAACGUAGGGAAACUUAUGCUAAUACCGCAUACGUUCUACGGGUGAAAGCAGAGGUUCUUGGGGCUUUGCGUGUCACAUUGAGCCGAUGUCGGAUUAGCUAGUUGGCGGGGUAAAGGCCCACCAAGGCGACGAUCCGUAGCUGGUCUGAGAGGAUGAUCAGCCACACUGGAACUGAGACACGGUCCAGACUCCUACGGGAGGCAGCAGUGGGGAAUAUUGGACAAUGGGCGCAAGCCUGAUCCAGCCAUACCGCGUGGGUGAAGAAGGCCUUCGGGUUGUAAAGCCCUGUUAUUGGGAAAGAAAAGCUGCAGGUUAAAACCCCGCUGUUCUGACGGUACCCAAAGAGUAAGCAACGGCUAACUUCGUG
rnacentral:rRNA from 1 species